UGAAGCAUUUCGGUGUGUAAACCUCUGUCGAUGAUGAAUAAAGCAUUCGAGAGUGGAAAGCUCGGGUGUUGAAGGUAAUCAUGAAGGAAGCACCGGCUAACUCUGUGCCAGCAGCCGCGGUAAUACAGGGGGUGCAAGCGUUGUUCGGAAUUACUGGGCGUAAAGGGAGCGUAGGCGGAAUUGCAAGACAGGGGUUAAAUCUCCGGGCUCAACCUGGAACUUGCCUUUGUGACUGCAGUUCUUGAGUAUGGUAGAGGUCAGUGGAAUUUCCGGUGUAGCGGUGGAAUGCGUAGAGAUCGGAAAGAACACCAGAGGCGAAGGCGACUGACUGGACCAAUACUGACGCUGAGGCUCGAAAGCGUGGGGAGCAAACAGGAUUAGAUACCCUGGUAGUCCACGCUGUAAACGAUGAACACUAGAUGUCGGGAGGGGUUCCUUCCGGUGUCGUCGCUAACGCAGUAAGUGUUCCGCCUGGGGAGUACGCUCGCAAGGGGUGAAACUCAAAGGAAUUGACGGGGA
rnacentral:rRNA from 1 species